rnacentral:rRNA from 1 species
GCUGGCGGCAUGCCUAACACAUGCAAGUCGAACGGAAACGAUGGAAGCUUGCUUCCAGGCGUCGAGUGGCGGACGGGUGAGUAAUGCUUAGGAAUCUGCCCAGUAGUGGGGGACAACUCGGGGAAACUCGAGCUAAUACCGCAUACGCCCUACGGGGGAAAGCAGGGGAUCUUCGGACCUUGCGCUAUUGGAUGAGCCUAAGUCGGAUUAGCUUGUUGGUGAGGUAAAAGCUCACCAAGGCGACGAUCCGUAGCUGGUCUGAGAGGACGAUCAGCCACACUGGGACUGAGACACGGCCCAGACUCCUACGGGAGGCAGCAGUGGGGAAUAUUGGACAAUGGGGGCAACCCUGAUCCAGCAAUGCCGCGUGUGUGAAGAAGGCCUGCGGGUUGUAAGGCACUUUCAGUAGAGAAGAAAAGCUCAUGGUUAAUACCUGUGAGUCUUGACGUAACCUACAGAAGAAGCUCCGGCUAACUCCGUGCCAGCAGCCGCGGUAAUACGGAGGGAGCGAGCGUUAAUCGGAAUUACUGGGCGUAAAGCGCGCGUAGGCGGCUUUGUCAGUCGGAUGUGAAAGCCCUGGGCUUAACCCAGGAAUUGCAUUCGAUACUGCAUGGCUAGAGUUGGUAGAGGGAA